GUGCCAGCAGCCGCGGUAAUACGUAGGGGGCUAGCGUUGUCCGGAAUCAUUGGGCGUAAAGCGCGUGUAGGCGGUUCGGUAAGUCCGCUGUGAAAGUCGGGGGCUCAACCCUCGGAUGCCGGUGGAUACUGUCGGACUAGAGUACGGAAGAGGCGAGUGGAAUUCCUGGUGUAGCGGUGAAAUGCGCAGAUAUCAGGAGGAACACCGAUUGCGAAGGCAGCUCGCUGGGACGUUACUGACGCUGAGACGCGAAAGCGUGGGGAGCAAACAGGAUUAGAAACCCUAGUAGUCC
rnacentral:rRNA from 1 species